rnacentral:rRNA from 1 species
AUGAACGCUAGCUACAGGCUUAACACAUGCAAGUCGAGGGGCAGCAUGGUCUUAGCUUGCUAAGGCCGAUGGCGACCGGCGCACGGGUGAGUAACACGUAUCCAACCUGCCGUCUACUCUUGGACAGCCUUCUGAAAGGAAGAUUAAUACAAGAUGGCAUCAUGAGUCCGCAUGUUCACAUGAUUAAAGGUAUUCCGGUAGACGAUGGGGAUGCGUUCCAUUAGAUAGUAGGCGGGGUAACGGCCCACCUAGUCUUCGAUGGAUAGGGGUUCUGAGAGGAAGGUCCCCCACAUUGGAACUGAGACACGGUCCAAACUCCUACGGGAGGCAGCAGUGAGGAAUAUUGGUCAAUGGGCGAGAGCCUGAACCAGCCAAGUAGCGUGAAGGAUGACUGCCCUAUGGGUUGUAAACUUCUUUUAUAAAGGAAUAAAGUCGGGUAUGGAUACCCGUUUGCAUGUACUUUAUGAAUAAGGAUCGGCUAACUCCGUGCCAGCAGCCGCGGUAAUACGGAGGAUCCGAGCGUUAUCCGGAUUUAUUGGGUUUAAAGGGAGCGUAGAUGGAUGUUUAAGUCAGUUGUGAAAGUUUGCGGCUCAACCGUAAAAUUGCAGUUGAUACUGGAUAUCUUGAGUGCAGUUGAGGCAGGCGGAAUUCGUGGUGUAGCGGUGAAAUGCUUAGAUAUCACGAAGAACUCCGAUUGCGAAGGCAGCCUGCUAAGCUGCAACUGACAUUGAGGCUCGAAAGUGUGGGUAUCAAACAGGAUUAGAUACCCUGGUAGUCCACACGGUAAACGAUGAAUACUCGCUGUUUGCGAUAUACUGCAAGCGGCCAAGCGAAAGCGUUAAGUAUUCCACCUGGGGAGUACGCCGGCAACGGUGAAACUCAAAGGAAUUGACGGGGGCCCGCACAAGCGGAGGAACAUGUGGUUUAAUUCGAUGAUACGCGAGGAACCUUACCUGGGUUUAAAUGGGAAAUGUCGUAUUUGGAAACAGAUAUUCUCUUCGGAGCGUUUUUCAAGGUGCUGCAUGGUUGUCGUCAGCUCGUGCCGUGAGGUGUCGGCUUAAGUGCCAUAACGAGCGCAACCCUUGUUGUCAGUUACUAACAGGUUCCGCUGAGGACUCUGACAAGACUGCCAUCGUAAGAUGUGAGGAAGGUGGGGAUGACGUCAAAUCAGCACGGCCCUUACGUCCGGGGCUACACACGUGUUACAAUGGGGGGUACAGAGGGCCGCUACCACGCGAGUGGAUGCCAAUCCCCAAAACCUCUCUCAGUUCGGACUGGAGUCUGCAACCCGACUCCACGAAGCUGGAUUCGCUAGUAAUCGCGCAUCAGCCACGGCGCGGUGAAUACGUUCCCGGGCCUUGUACACACCGCCCGUCAAGCCAUGGGAGCCGGGGGUACCUGAAGUGCGUAACCGCGAGGAGCGCCCUAGGGUAAAACUGGUGACUGGGGCU